rnacentral:lncRNA from 1 species
AAUAAAUGCUUUGAUUACUCAGCAUUCAUUAGAUAAUACUAAACUGCCUAUGAAGCAAGAAAGUCAUUUGCAUUUCAGAUUUACCCCUUCUCCAAUUUUCAUUUCACAGUAAGAGGCCUUUUAAGAUGACUUAAUGUGACUUUUUUCCCUUUAAAUUCAAAAGCAAGUAUACACACCACAUUCAGUAAUGACUAACACUAACUUCAUUGCCCCCUCAAUUUCUUAAAAUCACAUGUGAUUCGUUUGGGUCAUGUUUAAAAGUCAUGCCAAUCUGCUCAAAAGACAAACUGUGGAUAAGCACAGUGUCAUACACCUUUAAUGCUAGGGACCUGGGUGGCUGAAAGAGGAGGAUGCCAAGUUUGAGGACAGUCUCAGCAACUUAACAAGAUAAUUGGCAAAACAUGAGACCCUGUCAUGAGAAGAGAGAGAGAGAGAGAGAGAGAGAAAGAGAGAAAGAAAGAAAGAAAGAAAGAAAGAAAGAAAGAAAGAAAGAAAGAAAGAAAGAUCGGGGUUAGGGGAUAGGGAUGCACCUCAGUGAUAGAGCACCCAUAGAUUCAACCAAACAAACCCUGGGUGAUCUUAGAACCAUUUGAAAAAUGAAGCUAGUACAUGCAGAAUGUAAAACCUUGAGUAGGAAUGCAAAAAGUUAAAGUGAAAACCCCAUGAGCAGUAUCUUUCUCCUGCUGUAUUAACAGACCUUUCAUUUUAGGCUCUCAGUUGCGGCCCCCAGCACCCUUAUCUGGUAGGACAAAUUCCCAAGAGCCUUAGCAGGUCCUCAGAGAGUGUGAUAUUUAAAUAGGCAUUCUAAUUAUUCUCCUUACUAG